rnacentral:pre_miRNA from 1 species
GAUUUCAUUUGAAAAAGUCAUCAAUAACAAAGUUGUAUAACUCAUCAAGAUCUAUAACUUCUAUUUUGGUCAUUUCUUCAUCCGUCAAAAUAAUUUGUAAGAUUGUUCAAAAAAUGUACAUCUCUUAUAUAGUUUAAACUAUAUAAUAGAUAUACAUUUUGUGAACAAUCUUACAAAUCAUUUUGUAAACUAUAUAAAAGAUAUACAUUUUGUGAACAAUCUUGCAAAUCACUUUGUCGGAUAAAGAAAUAACCAAAAUAGAAGUUAUAGAUCUUGAUGAGUUAUACCAUUUUGUUAUUGAUGACUUUUUCAGAUGAAAUC